rnacentral:rRNA from 1 species
GAUGAACGCUGGCGGCGUGCCUAACACAUGCAAGUCGAGCGAGAAGGUUAUGAUUGAUUCUUCGGAUGAAAGAUUAACUGGAAAGCGGCGGACGGGUGAGUAACGCGUGAGUAACCUGCCCCAUACACAGGGAUAGCCAUUGGAAACGAUGAUUAAUACCUGAUAACACGUUCGAAUCACAUGUUUUGAAUGUCAAAGAUUUAUCGGUAUGGGAUGGACUCGCGUCUGAUUAGCUAGUUGGUAAGGUAACGGCUUACCAAGGCGACGAUCAGUAGCCGACCUGGGAGGGUGAUCGGCCACACUGGAACUGAGACACGGUCCAG